GAUGAAGAACGUAGCGAAAUGCGAUAAGUAAUGUGAAUUGCAGAAUUCAGUGAAUCAUCGAAUCUUUGAACGCACCUUGCGCCUUUUGGUAUUCCGAAAGGCACACCUGUUUGAGCGUCAUGAAUACCUCAAUCUCCAUCUUUUCUUCGGAUUGAUGGGUGACUUGGAUGUUGAGCCCUGCUGGUAUGCUAUAUCAGCUGGCUUUAAACUUAUUAGCCGGCUCUGUACUGGAUCGGUUUGACUCGACGUGAUAAUAUUAUCGUUGAGGAUGCAUGUCUCAUGGAGCCGGAAAGUAUCAAAGCAGCUUCUAGCUUGCCUUUAGUGCACUUUUACAUUUUAGACCUCAGAUCAGGUGGGACUACCCGCUGAACUUAAGCAUAUCAAUAAGCGGAGGA
rnacentral:misc_RNA from 1 species